CCUCGGGGAUGUAGCGGCCGUGCAGAGGCUGCGCUGCCAGGGCGGGAUGGCCUGUGCGGGGCUGGCGGGCUGGCCCUGGCCGCUGCGGGACCCCGUUUGCUGCGCGCUGCUGGCGGCCGCCGGGCUCUUGCUGGGGCUCUACUGGCUGCUGAGCCGCCCGCCCCGGGGGCUCCCGCCCGGCCCCAGCCCCUGGCCGCUCGUGGGCAAUUUCGGCUUCGCGCUGCUGCCCGGCCCGCUGCGGAAGAGGUGGCUACUGAGUGAGCGGGCCGAGCAGGGGGGCUCCCGGCCGCUCGCCCCGCACCUGCUCCUGACCGGCAUGGCCAAGGUCUACGGCAGCGUCUUCAGCCUCUUCGUGGGCAGCCGCCCCAUGAUCGUGCUCAGCGACUUCGAGGCGGUGCGGGAGGCGCUGGUCAGCCAGGCCGAGGUGUUCAGCGACCGGCCCAGCAUCCCCAUCGUGGCCAUGCUCACCAAGAAGAAGGGUGUCGUUUUUGCACCAUAUGGUCCCAUAUGGAGACAACAGAGGAAGUUUUCUCACUCAACUCUUCGUCAUUUUGGAUUAGGAAAGCAUAGCCUGGAACCCAAAAUCAUUGAAGAACUGAAGUAUGUGAAGGAAGAAAUGCUAAGAUAUGGAAAGGAUCCAUUUAACCCCUUUCCUAUUAUCAGCAACUCUGUGUCCAAUGUUAUCUGUUCCAUGGCCUUUGGCAGGCGCUUUGACUAUGAAGACAUUGAGUUUAAGACCAUGCUAAGUCUCAUGUCACGUGCGCUAGAGAUAAGUGUAAACAGCCAUGUAUUUCUGGUCAACAUUUGUCCUUGGCUGUACUAUCUUCCCUUUGGCCCUUUCAGAGAACUGAGACAAAUUGAGUUUGAUGUCACAGCUUUUCUAAAGAAAAUAAUUGCACAGCACAGGGACACCCUGGAUAGAGAAAAUCCCAGGGAUUUCAUUGAUAUGUAUCUCCUCCAAGUGGAAGAAGAGAGAAAGAGCAACAGUGAGAGCAGCUUUAAUGAAGACUACCUGUUUUUUAUCAUUGGUGACCUCUUCAUCGCAGGUACUGACACCACUACCAACACACUGCUCUGGUGUCUGCUCUAUAUGUCUCUCCACCCAGAAGUACAAGAAAAGGUUCAUGCAGAAAUUGAAGUGGUCACCGGGCAUGACAGAGCUCCUUCUCUCACUGACAAGGCUCAUAUGCCCUUCACAGAGGCAACCAUCAUGGAGGUACAGAGGAUGACUGUGGUUGUUCCUCUUUCUGUUCCUCGAAUGGCCUCAGCAACUGCUGUGCUACGGGGAUAUACUAUUCCUAAAGGCAGUGUGAUUGUGCCCAACUUAUGGUCAGUGCACAGAGAUCCAAAUAUAUGGGAGAGACCAGAUGACUUCCAACCAACAAGAUUUCUGGAUGAAAAUGGCCAGCUAAUCAAAAGAGAAAUGUUCAUUCCUUUCGGAAUUGGUAAACGUGUGUGCAUGGGAGAGCAGCUGGCAAAAAUGGAGCUGUUCUUGAUGUUUGUAAAUCUCAUGCAAAAUUUUACCUUUUUGUAUCCUGAUAAUGCUACAAAACCAGCCAUGGAAGGAAGAUUUGGUCUAACUUUAGCUCCAUAUCCAUUCAAUAUAAUUGCUUUGAAGAGAUGAAGAAACUUGAAAAAAGACUAAAUGAAGAGAUACUGCACUUAGCAAAUUCAGCUUUAUAUUUUUAUCGUUCUAAGCAGCAGCAUUUUGGAAAGUCAGGAGAGAGAUUAUCAAGAUAUGCAUCAGAUAAAGGUAAGAGCAGUUCUGUUUCUCCUAAUGAACCUAAUAGGAGAGCUCUCCCCUCCUUACGUCUUUCAUACAAAAUACUGUGGGGUCCACCUGGCUGAAGAGAAGCGGAUCUUCUUUUUCUCUUGUGCUCCUGGGAGUCCUGACUAGGGAGCUUUGCUUAUUUUGCUUAAUAUUAUUCUGCAUAUGUGAAUAGGAUUUGAGUGUUUGGUAAAAUCUCCCUCCGGCAGAGCUUGGGUGAGCUCAGUGCAGGCGUUCAGUUCAUAUCGAUGAAUACUGAGCAAUAGAAUUUCUGUUUGGUUGAAGCUUGUUUUCAGCUAUAGUCCUGAAUAAUCUCCAAUCAGAUAAAGUUUACUAAGGAACAAAGCACCUCAUCUGUAUCUCAAAACCGGCUUUUGUUGUAGUGAUCUUUUAGCACAAAAUGCCAAAGUUGAGUGCACUUAAUUUCUUCUGAGGAACCUACUUAAUUUAGUGAAUUGCUCAAAUAAACUUUGUCACCAGUAUGUUGCUAACUGGUGGGAUUUUAUAGAGUCUCUCUCUCAAUACUAGGUGUUUUUCUUAAAGUCCGGCACUUACAUUCUUGUGAUUCAGAUUGUAAUUAAAAAAUAUAUAUAUACAUAUAGUUGGGAAGAAAAGCCUGAAAGUAUGAUCCAAGUGUAACUCAACAGAUUCAAAACACUACAUAGAUUCUAAGGCCAGAAGGGACCAUUGGAUCUAGUCUGACCUCCUUUAUAUCAUAAGCCGUAGAACUUACCCAAAAUAAUAAGCUGUCCAAGCAAGCAUUUGAAAGCAAAUAAAAACACAGUAUACUUGUGACACCCUGACAUCCCAAUAUCCACCACUGUCAUGUAAUUAGGAUGUGUUUUGUACCAAGUAUGUCUUGUGAGAUGUCAUUCUAAAAGUCUUGAUCUGCUAGACAUUAAUAUCUCAUUGGAUUGUAUGUGCUAUCAUUGUAUGUGAAGUUAUGAAGUUUGGCUAUGUGUGUGUUACUGUAACAUGCUGUGAGUUUGAAAGCACCACAAGCAGCCUCUCAGGUACAACAGUAAAAAGGCCAAACAAUAUUAAUGACUUAUUGAGGAAAUGCACCCAAGCAUUACCCCAGGAAUUGUGUACAGUUGAAGACUCUCAGAGAUAGCACUACACAAUGUGAACUGUUUGACCCAGGUCACAGAAAAUCGGAAGAAGAUAUAAAAGGGGUGACAAUGACAUCAUAGGGGGACCUCAGUCUCCCUGCAACAACAUACCUGGAAACAGCUAAGGGGCAAGGACUGAACUGUGGGAAGUGGUGGUCCCAGGCUAGAAGGAUCUUUAGCCUGUGUGUGAAAAUGUGAGAAAGCCAAGGCAACUUGUGCCUUAAGAGUCUGCCAGCCUGCUUAUCACUCAGCAUGAGAAUUUGCUAAUUUAUAUUCUACCUAUCUAGUGUGUUAAGCUCAGUUUGUGGCCUUUGUUUGUUUAUUUACUGAGGUAUUCUACUUUGAUCUAUUUGCUAACCCUUAUGAUUACUUAAUAAACUUGUUUUGUUUUCGCUAA